UGUUGCGUCAGUGACGCACAGCAGUGUUUGGAAACAUUAAGAAAAGCGAAUUAAUGAAGGAUUGAGUUCCUCCACCUGUUCUGUGGCUGCAUGUGCGCAUGCAUGAGGAACCCAAAAAAACAACACGGAAAAUGGGAUUUGGAGAAGGAUCACCGUGAGAUUGAGGGAGGGACUAAGUGUGUGCGUGAUAUUUCUUCCUCUGCGGGGCUCGCAGCGCGCAGGUACAGCAUCUUCUGCAAGUCCACCGCUCGGCUGACCGGCGCUUCCAGCACUGCAGGAAAGUUUCCAGUCGGCCCUGCUUCUCCUGUCCACAGCGUCUGUGAUGAGUUACUACAUGGAUCCAGUUUCUUCCUACCCAGCCCUUCACCCCUGUGACCGUCUGGGCACAACGAGACCAGCUGGAGGAGUUGCAGUGGGCCCUGAGACCCACCUCCCAGGUGUGGUUCACCCCCAGCAGCAGUUUUACCCCUCACAGCCCCUUCACCCCCACGACAUACCCCUGCAGGAGGUACCGGACGGCCGUGACAUGUGUCCUACAGGUAGGAAGGAAACACACUUGAAAUCAAACAGGUUGUGGUUUCAAUCAAAUCAUGCAGUAAAUAAAAAUUUUGAGCAUAUUUAAGAACACUCUCUCCUUCCAAAGGGUUUUAAACACCAGCAACCAAAAACCCUGGCUGUUACAGCUCUCUGAAUGAUUUUCUCUGGUUUUUAGAUCUGUUUAUGCAUCACGCUGAAUUUAUUGUUCUCAGUAAAAUGUGCAACUUUCACUGAACUCCAUUUCAAAAGAUGCUUGAAUGAACUUUAUGAUUUUCGUGGAAUUUCCUCCAAACUUCCGCCUUGGCAUCAGUCAUCAUCCUAAUUUAGGCCCUGAAGUCAAAUUUGUUGCUUCAUGUUGUUGUCUGUGUUAUUAAACUGGGUCCCCAUGUAGGUGAACAGAUUUAUCUUCUAAAAUAACACACACACACACACACACACACACACACACACACACACACACACACACACACACACACACACACACACACACAUGCAUGCACAUACACACACACACAUGCAUGCGCAUACACAUACACACACACAUGCAUGCACAUACACACACACACACACACACACAC